GAGAGAGAAAGUUAGAGAAAGAAAGUGGGGUUUUAGAGAGAAAAAGUGAAGAAAAAAAUUCAAGUUGAGGAAUUUGUGGUUUGAAUAUUGCAAUUGGUUUCUAGAGGAUUGUUGAAUAUCACUGAACCAAUCGGAUGGAGAAACGGGUAAGAAAUCAAGAUCAGAUCUAUGUUUUUGUUGAAAUGCGGUUUUGGGGUAAAAUUGGGUUUUUGGCAGAAGGAUCGGGUUUUUUUACGUGUUAAUCUAGCUAAAAAUCUUAGACCUUGCUUCAUGGAAGUUAAAUAAACGUUUAGGACAUAAAACUUUAUGAUUUUGGGUCGAAAGCAACCUUUUAUAGAUGAAUCUACAACCAGCAACACUCACUAGAGUGUUCAUCCGGCAAACACAUCAAAGAAAUUUGGUGACACUCGACGGGGCUGGUUGGGGAAGAUCGGCACUAAUUACAAGGUCGACCUACGAUUAGAGACACUCAAGAGUGCCAACGACACUCAAGAAGGUGCCAACAGGGAAAUACGGAACGGUCUGCAGACCCAUACAAAGGUGAGUCGACUAAUGGACCAGUUUGAACCUGACCCCAAUCAAUUUGAUAGAUUCUAACAUUUUUGUGAAACGUUAUGGAGGUGAAAUCAUAUGGAGUGAUGCUGGAGUGAACUGAAGCUACUAUGCAAUCUACAGAAGAACGGCAAAUAAAGUAUUACACGAGACGAGACUACGCCGUUCUUGUUCAUCCGUAUAACGAUAGUCGUAUCAUAAGUUUCAGGGAACCACGUACCUUAACCUCGUGAAGCAGCAACACUUCCAAAACUGAUGAAAAUUAUUGAAGAUUUAUUGAAGAAUUGCAUUUAGUUAUGAUGAUAUGUUAGCAAUUGUUUGUUAUAUAUCGAUAUAGGUUAAGUUAGGCUAAUGGGCUUUGGCCCAGAUAUGUUGUUUGUAACAGAAUCACAAAUUUCACUCGGUUCCAGAUUAUUGGCUUCGGUUA